GUAAGUGAAAAAAACAAGGUGAAUCGGGCAAAGAAGAAGAUGGUUCAAGUAACGGGUUAAAAAAGUUAUGCUCGAGUCCGUGAAGAGCUAAAGGCAUCUAAGGGACAAGAUCCAAGUCGAUUGGAAAUGUUUCAUGCAUGUUUCUCCAAAGAUGGAACUACCAAAAAUUUGGAAGCUUCAAAUGCAAUUGCACAAAUGCAACAACAUAGUUCUAAUCUUCCCGAGGGCUCGAUCGAUAAGCCUGGACCAGAUGAUGUUUUUUCUAAAGUAAUGGGUAAUGAUUGAAAUGGUGAUGUGGUUAUGUAUGGUCUGGGUGUUCAUGCUGCUAAUGUUUGGGGUGUAAUACCAAGUCGUUCGGCAUUUCAUAGAGAAAACAUCCAAUUGAAGUCUCAAUGUGAAGAACUUACUAGUACCGUGGUCCAGUUACGAGCCCAAGUAUCAGAGAUGGAAGGGUCGAGGGGUGGUUCCAGUGUUCAACCUCUUGCAUCACAACAUUUCCCCAAUGUAACCAAUGGACAU